UACGGAGGAUGCGAGCGUUAUCCGGAUUUAUUGGGUUUAAAGGGUGCGUAGGCGGCCGAGUAAGUCAGCGGUGAAAUUUUGCAGCUUAACUGUAACAGUGCCGUUGAUACUGCAUGGCUAGGAUUUGGUUGCUGUGGGUGGAAUGUGUGGUGUAGCGGUGAAAUGCUUAGAUAUCACACAGAAUAUCAAUUGCGAAGACAGCUCACAAAGCCAAGAUUGACGCUGAGGCACGAAAGUGUGGGGAUCAAA
rnacentral:rRNA from 1 species